UAAUGAUUUCUAGCUCCAUGUUAAUCUCAUUAUAUUAGCACUUUGUCCCACUUUUAAAUAAUUCUACCAAAAACAUGGGAAAAGAUAUAUGACAUUGUUAAAGGCCGAUUAUAUAUAUUUAGGAUCUGUUCACUUCAUCUUAAUUUCAGCGUAGUUCAAUUCAACUCCAAUCAGUUUAGUUUAGUUCAGUUCAGUUUCUCAUAAUCUCAUCCAUCAAAUGUUAGAAUUUCCACCCACAAAAAAUCAGAAACAAGAGAAGGUUUGAAGUAGUGAAGUUCUUCAUCACGAAUUUUCUGGAAGAGCAUCCACGAAAUUGAUCGUUGCCGGAAUUUCGACCGUCCGAUCGUGCUGAAAAUUGGUCAGAUUGUUGGAGACACAUAGAUCUUCAAAUUCAACGGUUGGAUCGUUCAUUUGAGCUCAGUUUCAAAGCAUAAUCAAUGGUAUCAACUACCAUUCUUGCUACUAUUAUCAUCUUGAUGAUCCCUCUAAAUUGUAGAGGAACGAAUUCGGCUGUAAAUGACAGCGGCGGUGGUGAUGAAUCGCGGUAUUUUUGUGGGUUGAUAUCCCAAAUAUCCGUGCUCGGAAGUCAAAUGCCCUGAGCCUACCGAUGGAGCUCCCUGCUGGUGUUAUCAGGGGGAUUAUUGCGGCCAUCAUAGUAAAGAAGAAUGCACAAAGGCUUUCAGGACCGGAUGUAAACCUUAUCCUACUGCUUAUCGAUUUGCUUUUAUCUUUGGCUUACCUUUAGCUUUAUGUUUUUGCAUAUUGUGGUUUUAUAUUGUACGGAGUAGCAUAUUAUUCGGUCCGUGGCUUCCGUGCAAAAAAAUUUGAACAAGUAAAAUAAAGAUUUGUAUUAUUCGGUCUACUUAUGUUAGGCCUUUUAUUAGCUGUUUGUAUCAUAGUUUCCUUUCCUGUGUUGUGUUAGUACUUAGUAGUUCGCAUACUCUUACCAUGCUUACUUGUAAUUUUAUCUUACCAUGUUUGUAAUAAGUGUUGUUUUACAAUAGACUCAAUAAAUGACAUCCUCA